UACGUAGGGGGCAAGCGUUGUCCGGAAUUAUUGGGCGUAAAGAGCGCGUAGGCGGUCUGAUAAGUCGGUUGUGAAAGUCGGGGGCUCAACCCUCGGAUGCCGAUCGAUACUGUCAGGCUAGAGUCCGGAAGAGGCGAGUGGAAUUCCUGGUGUAGCGGUGAAAUGCGCAGAUAUCAGGAGGAACACCAAUGGCGAAGGCGGGUCUCUGGACAGUUCCUGACGCUGAGGCACGAAGGCCAGGGGAGCAAACGGG
rnacentral:rRNA from 1 species